GAGUUUGAUCCUGGCUCAGGACGAACGCUGGCGGCAUGUUUUACCUAUGCAAGUCGAACGGGGUUACCAAGGGGAAGCCUUCGGGUGGAACCGAGGUGAUCAAGUGGCGAACGGGUGAGUAACGCGUGAACAACCAACCCUGUACAGGGGGAUACCUUUGGGAAACCAAAGCUAAUACCGCAUGAGACCACGCUGCCACAUGGCAGAGGGGUCAAAGGAGCAAUUCGGUACAGGACGGGUUCGCGUCCCAUUAGGUAGUAGGCGGGGUAACGGCCCACCUAGCCUGCGAUGGGUAGCCGAGCUGAGAGGCUGAUCGGCCACACUGGGACUGAGAUACGGCCCAGACUCCUACGGGAGGCAGCAAGGAAGAAUAUUGGGCAAUGGGGGAAACCCUGACCCAGCAAUGCCGCGUGAAGGAAGAAGGCCUUCGGGUUGUAAACUUCUGUGACAGGGGACGAAAGAAAUGACGGUACCCUGAGAGGAAGCCCCGGCAAACUACGUGCCAGCAGCCGCGGUAAUACGUAGGGGGCGAGCGUUGUCCGGAAUUACUGGGCGUAAAGAGCGCGUAGGCGGCUCUGCAAGUCGCAUGUGAAAGCCCCAGGCUUAACCUGGGGAUUGCAUGCGAAACUGCGGAGCUUGAGUGCGGUAGAGGAAAGUGGAAUUCCUAGUGUAGCGGUAAAAUGCGCAGAUAUUAGGAGGAACACCAGUGGCGAAGGCGACUUUCUGGGCCGCAACUGACGCUGAGGCGCGAAAGCGUGGGGAGCAAACAGGAUUAGAUACCCUGGUAGUCCACGCUGUAAACGAUGAGUACUAGGUGUAGGGGGUAUCGACCCCCCCUGUGCCGGAGCAAACGCAAUAAGUAUUCCGCCUGGGGAGUACGACCGCAAGGUUGAAACUCAAAGGAAUUGACGGGGGCCCGCACAAGCAGCGGAGCAUGUCGUUUAAUUCGAAGCAACGCGAAGAACCUUACCAGGGCUUGACAUCCUCCGAAUCCUGCGGAAACGCGGGAGUGCCUUCGGGAGCGGAGAGACAGGUGGUGCAUGGUUGUCGUCAGCUCGUGUCGUGAGAUGUUGGGUUAAGUCCCGCAACGAGCGCAACCCUUGUCAUCAGUUACCAGCGGGUAAUGCCGGGGACUCUGGUGAAACUGCCGUGGAUAACACGGAGGAAGGUGGGGACGACGUCAAAUCAUCAUGCUCCUUAUGUUCUGGGCUACACACGUGCUACAAUGGCCGCUACAAAGGGAUGCGAGGCCGUAAGGCCAAGCGAAACCGAAAAAAGCGGUCCCAGUUCGGAUUGAGGGCUGCAACCCGCCCUCAUGAAGUCGGAGUUGCUAGUAAUCGCGGAUCAGCAUGCCGCGGUGAAUACGUUCCCGGGCCUUGUACACACCGCCCGUCACACCAUGGGAGUUGGGAGAACCCGAAGCCAGUGAGGCAACCGCAAGGAGCCAGCUGUCGAAGGUAAGACCAGCGACUGGGGUGAAGUCGUAACAAGGUA
rnacentral:rRNA from 1 species